CCUACGGGAGACAGCAGUGGGGAAUAUUGGGCAAUGGGCGCAAGCCUGACCCAGCAACGCCGCGUGAAGGAAGAAGGCUUUCGGGUUGUAAACUUCUUUUAAGAGGGAAGAGCAGAAGACGGUACCUCUUGAAUAAGCCACGGCUAACUACGUGCCAGCAGCCGCGGUAAUACGUAGGUGGCAAGCGUUGUCCGGAUUUACUGGGUGUAAAGGGCGUGCAGCCGGGAAGACAAGUCAGAUGUGAAAGCCCGCGGCUCAACCGCGGAACUGCAUUUGAAACUGUUUGUCUUGAGUACCGGAGAGGUCAUCGGAAUUCCUUGUGUAGCGGUGAAAUGCGUAGAUAUAAGGAAGAACACCAGUGGCGAAGGCGGAUGACUGGACGGCAACUGACGGUGAGGCGCGAAAGCGUGGGGAGCAAACAGGAUUAGAUACCCGUGUAGUC
rnacentral:rRNA from 1 species